rnacentral:ncRNA from 2 species
ACAUCAAUGCACGCCCGUGGUGGGGGAAGCCGGUGAGAAUCCGGCGCUGACCCGCAACCGUAGAGCCGGAGCACCCGCCGCGACGCGUCCUGAUCA